CGAAAAACCUGAACCUCACUCUCGUUCCGACUUUGGGGUCAGCGUUGGCAUUUGGCAAAAGUUGCAUUCGUGAGAAGUGCCCCACCAGACCUUCAACUAAUUAAGUUGCAAUUAAAUGUUUUAAUAGCUGAGUGGCCAACAUCCGUUGGCUGGUAAACGGGUACAAAACCAAGAAAUGCGUGGCGUCCAAAUGAGGAGCGCGCCUCAUUAAAGCGCGCACGGUCUGCGGAGCCAUUACCAAAAGACGUGCAAGGCUCCCAAUGCAAUUGCAAAAAAAAAAAAAGCAAAAGAUCAGGGAAAAUAUUAAAAAAGUGAAACGAUAUCAAAACAAUACCGAACAAUUAAAUACCCUGCAAAGCAAUUUAAAAGCCCAAUUGAAAAGUAAGCUACUUCAAAGUAUAUUUCAAAACGAUGUGAGGAGAUGCCUACAGUACACAUAGUAAAUAACUUAUGUUAGGAUAGUGUACAACUAGAUUUUUGUAUAUCUACACUUAGAUGCAAAAC